UACGAAGGGGGCUAGCGUUGCUCGGAAUCACUGGGCGUAAAGGGUGCGUAGGCGGGUUUUUAAGUCAGGUGUGAAAUCCUGGAGCUCAACUCCAGAACUGCCUUUGAUACUGAAGAUCUUGAGUCCGGGAGAGGUGAGUGGAACUGCGAGUGUAGAGGUGAAAUUCGUAGAUAUUCGCAAGAACACCAGUGGCGAAGGCGGCUCACUGGCCCGAUACUGACGCUGAGGCACGAAAGCGUGGGGAGCAAACAGG
rnacentral:rRNA from 1 species